rfam:Bacillus sp. FJAT-22058 super1, whole genome shotgun sequence.
AGUGCUGAUAGAGGUGCGGAAUUCAAGAGUAAAAACCUGGAGAAGUAUGAGCUUCCAUGAAAGGUUUUGAAAGGGGACGCCGCCGAAGGAAGACAAGACUCAUACCUUGUCCUCCUGGUCCGACAUUUAAGAAAUGGCGGAUUGUCAGGGUUUAUACCCUGGAGAGCUAUCUCACUG